rnacentral:rRNA from 1 species
CCUACGGGUGGCAGCAGUGAGGAAUAUUGGUCAAUGGACGCAAGUCUGAACCAGCCAAGCCGCGUGAAGGAAGACGGCCCUAUGAGUUGUAAACUGCUUUUGUAAGAGGAUAAACGCAGAUACGCGUAUCUGUCUGACAGUAUCGUACGAAUAAGGAUCGGCUAACUCCGUGCCAGCAGCCGCGGUAAUACGGAGGAUUCAAGCGUUAUUCGGAUUUAUUGGGUUUAAAGGGUGCGUAGGCGGGCGGUUAAGUUAGAGGUGAAAUCUCGAGGCUCAACUUCGGAAUUGCCUUUGAUACUGGUCGGCUAGAGUGUAGUUGCGGUAGGCGGAAUGUGUGGUGUAGCGGUGAAAUGCUUAGAGAUCAUGAAGAACACCGAUUGCGAAGGCAGCCUACCAAGCUGCUACUGACGUUGAGGCACGAAAGCGUGGGGAGCAAACAGGAUUAGAUACCCCGGUAGUC